AAGUCGUAACAAGGUUUCCGUAGGUGAACCUGCGGAAGGAUCAUUAACAAAAUAUGAAUAAUUAAUUCAUAGACCCAAUCUGCGUAUUUGUCUUUGUUGCUUCCGCAAGUAUGGCAACAGUCCUUGCCAUUUCUUUCUAGUGGGAAACCUUGCGGGAGGUUAUCAUAACUUCUGUUUUUCUUGUAUUGUCUGAAUCUUUGCUUUAGCAAGUAUUAAAACUUUCAACAACGGAUCUCUUGGUUCUC
rnacentral:misc_RNA from 1 species